AGGGCAGCCACCUGUGAGGUCCAUCUGGCACGAUCCUGAGCCCACAUAACUGGACCGCUGGCGGGGGGCACUGGGCACCCUACAGAUUGCCCAGGACAGCUGCCUCGGCCGCGGGACAAUCCUGGGGAAACCUGGACAAGUGGCAGCCCUACCCCUCUGCACACACCUACGCACAUACACCCCUACCACACACACCAAGGACACUGUCACCUCCCCACAUUGGAAAAAUGUUCAUAUUCAAACAUUCCCUUCCAACAUCAUCACCUUCCAUGCACACAAGUCACCUGCCCACUUCCACACAGUGAUCUUCCCCUCUGGCCCCAGUCACCUUCCCACCAGCAUGUCACUUCUCUUUUGCAACAGUCUGUCACUUCCCCACCUAAUACACAAACAGCUGUUCCCCCUUUCCAACACAACUCACCUUCCUUCCCUGGACAAUCACCUGUUCCCUUAAAACUCCUCACCCAUACAUGCCUGCCCCCUUCAAAAUUAUCAUCUCCCCACUACAAAUCAUCCAUUGCAACACCAUUACCUCUCCCUCAUAAAUAAUCAGCUCCCCUCCAACACUAUCCACCUUUCCCAAGCAGACAGAAAAACAGUUCUCCCCCACCCCACCCCCAGCACUGUCCCACAAUAGACACAGUCACUUGCCCCCUUCCAACACAGUCAUCUUCACCUCAUGGACACAGUCAAUCACCAUUGCACACACCUACACACUCCCUCUCUUGAACACCAUCACCCUCCAGCACUUCUCCCCUCCACCCCCAGACACUGCAACACCUAUGAACUGUCUCUCACAUACCUUUUCCACCUUAAACUAUGUCACCACAACACACACACCUCCUCUCAUGAGACUGCCACACCCCAAUGCAGGAUUUAUCCUUUGUACAUAAAGACUACAGUAUUAUACAGCUAUUGCCACAAAACACUUCACUAACAUUUGCAUGCUGAAGCAUUUUGGGCUGUUACUGGGGACUUACAAAAAAUAGGAGCAGGACAUGGCAUGCUGGGUGAUGGGAGGAGAAGCAAAGGAAAAAAGCAGAAGCGGUGGAGAACAUUACAUGACACAUCCUCCACCCAAGUAGCGUGCAGCCUUCUGUGGCCUGAUCACCCAUUGAUACACCAUUCGAUUUCUGAAUGAACACACCACAUGUUACUACCCAGAAGUUACCUGCACCUCUUUUCUUGACGUGAUCUUUGCAUACCUGUUUGGGACAACCUAUGUGGUGGUGUUGCUUCAUGUCUAGCCAAAUCCCAAGCUAAGCAAAUUGAUUGUGAGACCUCCUCCUCCUCCUCCUCUUCAAGAAGAAGACUUAGUGUGGACUAGCAACUAUAGUCAUGGAGUGAAAUUAGUACCUGGAGAACUUGUAAAAUGCAUGGGACCUGUGGGGUGGCUUUGGUGGUAAAAUCAUCCAAUGGUAUUUUAUGGAAAAAACAUAUGGACUAGUUGCAGCCUCGAAGUACUGAAGUCAGGGCAUAUUUCAGUAGGACUUUGUGUUCCUCUGAUUGAACCUCCAUCCAUUACAACUCCUAAUUUUAAUGACCUUGAUACCAGAUCCAGUUGAUUCCUUACUCCAAACUGUUCCUGUUGUCCAGUACACUGCUACACCACCAUCACUAGAGGGAGGGAAAAUCAGUUGUGCACCUGAAAUUAUAAAUUGUUUAGUUCACUGAGUUGCUGUUCCAGGGUAGAAAAAUCCCUUGCAACUUCAGAAUCUGCAGGAGUCCACCCACAACUUUGUUAGCUAACAUGAAACACUAUAUAACCUAUGUAAAUGAUUGCGUGUGUGCAGUUGGAAAGUUUUUAUAAAGUAAAAUGAGGAAUGUGAAGUCCUAUCCCUUUAAGCGUUUGAACAUUCCCCAUUGCAAAG